UAUCCCUCUCCAUGACUACCCUCCGGCCGCAAGCCGCCGUCGUCACCUAUCUCUGUUACACCUCCUCCCCACACGCUCCAUCUCCACGUUGGGGACGUCAUGGAAGGCGGGGCCGCGAGGUACCUCCCCCUUGACUCCCCUGCCUUCCUUUAACAAAUCCUUUCGAGCCACCUCCGCCCCGAGCGACCAGAGCACAGCGGACGGCAGCCGUCUGCGACGUGCUCUGCCCCCUUCCUCCCACAUGAUCCCUGUAUUAGCCUGCACCAAUCCGACCACGAAGGCAGUUGUCCUUAAUCUCCUCAACAGGCGAGCAGGGGCUGGCAUGGACCUCUUGCUGCUCCUCUUUUAGUUUGCUGGGGAGAGAGCGACUAUGCCAGCCCGACGUAGAUGAAGUUGCUCCCUGUGCCAGUGAUCCGAUUGAGAACCCAGUGAAUUUCAGCACCGUCAAGAGGAGGCUUGCCAGGGAUGUGACAAAUCCUAUCCAAUUUGGUCUUGUCCCAUAGCUCAGACUUGGAAAAUCUUUCAUUUGAGUAGUUCGAGAUCAGUACCUAGCGCCUCAAUGAUUUUUCGCUAAAAUCAUGUUGUAGUUGGGGAUGGUGGGAUGACAUUUCAGUUAAUACUUCAUACUCGUACUAUAUUAGUCUAGGAGACUGGGAGAGAACUCCACCUACAAGCAGCAAUACAAUGCUUGAAGCAACAUUUUAUAUUUAAAUCUCCUUAUUACAUUGAAUCGUAACUUAUUUAUCUUGAAAACGAUUAACCUUUAUGUGCGUGGCCCAAAAACAACAACGUUUCCUAAAAUUAACAUUGUUUGCUUGUAGUUUGUGGAAACAAUGAAUGUGGUUUGCUUCAAGAUUAGGCUGUUGUUUGCCAUAAUUUUCAUUAUAGAUCUGCUAAAGUUCAGUAGUACUGAAUACAUAUAAUAUCCUACACUAAGCAGAAAAUUGAUGAUUUUUCUAACAUAAUUUUAACUUUAACAUCCAUUGGUCGUAUUUUAAGCUUUGUAGGCUUCUACGAAAUACCGUCUACUCUACUAAUAAUACUAUGUUAAUAGUUGGUGAUAUUCUUUAGUUGUAGAAUGAUGUCUUCUUAAUUUGCAGCAAUGUAAUGAUGUACACCGCACCAGAUAAAUCUUACUUCAGACAGGUUAAUUCCAUUCAAGGCCUGCCAAGAAAGAGGUUGAUGUCUUCUUAAUUUGCAGCAAUGUAAUGAUGUACAAUGCGCAUGAUACAAUUUACUUCAGACAGGUUCAUUCCAUUCAAGGCCUGGCAAGAAAGAUGUUUCAAGAACCUAGAGAUGAGGGCAUACGUAUAGAAAUGCAAGCACAUUCCUGACUACGCUGAUGAUGGGCUCUUGUGGUAGAGUUCUCUCUGGGUGAUGGGCAUAGCGAGGAGCGGAGGACUGCCAAUCCAACGGCCAAGAAUGAAUCUGACGGGCCCCUUGAAUUCCAUGCACAUUGGUUGUGCAGCUGCGGACCAUGUCUUCGGCUGCAACAUCGAACGGGAGGGACGAGCCACCACACCUACAUAAGGGGUUAGUGUGGGGUGUGUGUGUAGAUGACGCCAAGGGCUAACAACGGCGCCCGCUGACGGCGGCGGCGGACCCGGACGCAUAAGAAAGAUCAGGGACAAGUGCUCCAACUAGCUCAUCGCCAUGAAGUACAUUAAGAAGUAACAACGUAUGCACCCUACUGUUUGGCUCCAUUCCUAUCUGUGUAGUUUUGGAGUUUGGUCGUUGGGGGUUCAUCCUGAUGGUGGCUAAUGGAUUUGGUUUCUUGGUGAUGAAUUAAUCCUUGAUGGAAGUAUGGUGAUGAUUACUAUAGGUUUUUGUUGCUCGAUGGAUGAACGCAGAUUGCUAGAAUUGACCUAGCUUUGAAUCCUCGAUCAAGUUAUGGCAUCAUGGUUUCUGUCUGCUUUGCUGCAUUUCAAACUAAAAUCAAUUAUUUGUACUCCAGCAUACAUAGCGCCGGAAGUUUUCCGACAAAAGAAUAACAAGGUAAGUUCUGCAUGUUACAGUAUGCGGUUAUUUUCUAUGAAUUUUCAGCAACCUCUUUAUCCGAUAAGAGAACAAGGUAAAUAGUAUUUAGUAAUAUCAUUAGUACUUAUAGAUGUUACUAAAAUUUUGAUGCAAUUUAGAAUUGCGUUGAAAGAGAUUUUCAAUUCUACGGUUUUUAUUCAGAUAUGAUUAUCUAGCUUGCUUGCCAUAUAGGAAAUACAUUCUUGAAGAUUAUCAUCAUUAUAUUUUUCCAUUGAAAGAGAGGAGCAUCCGUUGGAGGAUGUGCAAUUCUAAAAGGAAAAGGACUGAGUAAACCUAACUAUUAUCAAAGAAAUAGUUCAGUCAUUGUGUUGUUGGGAACUAAAAUAUACAUAAUGCUAAUGAUUUUAUUUUAGUGGCGACGACACCUGCACAUGUAUGUCAUGAUUCUUUAGAAGUUCUAAAUGUCUAUUUUAUGCUUAGGAUUAAACAAAACCCAUGCAUGGUAGUUUCUCUAAAGAUACAUGUGAAUGCAUUCAAAUAUUCGUGACUUAGCGCACAACAACUUAGUACCAUUUAGUUUUUUUAAUGUGAAAAAAGACACCUUGAUUAUUCAAGUUUUCUCAUCAACGUUUUUUUUUGCUUUGAUCAGCCUUCUCAAUUAACACAUUGUAUGAAGACUUUGCUGGGUUACGUGUAUGAACUGUUGGGUUAUCAUUACCGAUGCAAAACAUGAUAAAGAAGCCGGUGGUCACCUGGGGCUCCUAAUUUAUUUUGUUUUCAUGUGACGAGCUCCUUGCAUUCUGUUGCUCAUGGGUGUGGAACCAUGGCGAACGAGGAAUUUAUUGUUCAAGCCACACUUCACCUCAAAGUUGACGGUGUGUCAGACCGCUGACGCUCUUCGAGCGCCUGAAAGAAGGAUCUGUGUAGAUAGGUACACGACGACCUUCCAGAUCAAGUCAGCUGAUGCUAGACAUGCAUGUUCUUAUUGUUUCAACUAGCUUCUGUUGUAGUAACAUUGACAUGAUUUGCAAUUCUAUUCUUCCUUA